AGCAUAUCAAUAAGCGGAGGAAAAGAAACCAACAGGGAUUGCCCCAGUAACGGCGAGUGAAGCGGCAAGAGCUCAAAUUUGAAAUCUGGCCUCCUCCGGGGGUCCGAGUUGUAAUUUGCAGAGGAUGCUUCGGGUGCGGCCCCCGUCUAAGUUCCUUGGAACAGGACGUCAGAGAGGGUGAGAAUCCCGUCUUGGGCGGGCGGCCCGCGCCCGUGUGAAGCUCCUUCGACGAGUCGAGUUGUUUGGGAAUGCAGCUCUAAGCGGGUGGUAAAUUUCAUCUAAAGCUAAAUAUUGGCCGGAGACCGAUAGCGCACAAGUAGAGUGAUCGAAAGGUUAAAAGCACCUUGAAAAGGGAGUUAAACAGCACGUGAAAUUGUUGAAAGGGAAGCGCUUGCGGCCAGACUCGGGGGCGGGGUUCAGCGGGCGCUCGUCGCCCGUGCACUCCCCGCGCCCCGGGCCAGCAUCAGUUUCGACGGUCGGUCAAAGGCCCCCGGAAUGUGUCGUCUCUAGGGACGUCUUAUAGCCGGGGGUGCAAUGCGGCCCGUCGGGACUGAGGAACGCGCUUCGGCUCGGAUGCUGGCGUAAUGGCCGUAAGCGGCCCGUCUUGAAACACGGACCAAGGAGUCUAACAUCCACGCGAGUGUUCGGGUGUCAAACCCGUGCGCGCAGUGAAAGCGAACGGAGGUGGGAGCCUUUGGGCGCACCAUCGACCGAUCCUGAAGUCUUCGGAUGGAUUUGAGUAGGAGCGUGGCCGUUGGGACCCGAAAGAUGGUGAACUAUGCCUGAAUAGGGUGAAGCCAGAGGAAACUCUGGUGGAGGCUCGCAGCGGUUCUGACGUGCAAAUCGAUCGUCAAAUUUGGGCAUAGGGGCGAAAGACUAAUCGAACCAUCUAGUAGCUGGUUCCUGCCGA
rnacentral:rRNA from 1 species